CACAACUUUCCUGGAGAUUGUGCUGAACACAAUGUUUUCAAACAUGAACCAGUUGAGAGACAUUCAAUAUAAAGAGGAUCUGCUCAAGAAAUUGCAGCCUGUAGAGAGAUCCUCAUCUCUUCGCAUUGAAAGGCCAACUUCACUUGUUAUUCGACAACACAGAAGAAAUAGCCUGCCUAGUCCUUCUGUUAUCAAGGCAAUUGUCCAUACACCGGACUUAGAAAGAGUCCGGUCUUUUAGUCUUACUCGAGACGGACUCAAAAACUGCGGGGACAAAAUCAGGCGACGCAGUACAUAUAGUAUUGCAACAAGUGAGGGGCCUGAUUCACUUUCCACCGGAGCAACAUCUUCUUUGGAAAGCAUCUGUCAGAGGCAACAAUUUAAGGUUGCUAUCAUAGGAUCUGCAGGAGUUGGAAAAAAAUCGUUGAAAAAUCAAUUUGCAACUUCAGAAGAACUUUACAUAAACAAUAAAAACGAUAGUAACAGAGACCAGGGAGAGAUCUGCGUCUUGAUGGACGACGAAGAGUCGUGUGUGAUAUUUGUUGACGAAACAGAAUUAGCGAAUCAAGCAGAAAAUGAGUUGGUGGAUUCCAUAGUGGUAGUGUUUUCAGUUGUGGACAACAAAUCGUUCAAAAAUGGAGUCAGAAAAAUUGAAAUGAUUCGGCAAGAAUUUGAGUUCGAGAAACCACUGUUUCUUGUCGCUAAUAAAGUAGAUCAGGCAAGGCAGAGAGUCGUCACGGAAAAAGGUAGAUAUUGAAUCGAAUAAAUGUUAACCACAUAUGUAAAAGAUUAAGAUUUUACUUUAUUAUUAUUAAAGAAAAUUAAAUGAAUUUUUUAGAGAUAUCAACCGUUUGCAAAAUUGCUAAUCGGUUAAUCUCUUCUAGGUUCGACAGAUUAACCGGUUACUCGUAUCAAAAUACGCAUGUUUUGACAUGUUUUUAUUAUUUUUUAUAAAUGUUAUAAAUAACACAGAAUGUAAUAUAAUAUAAUGAAGAAAAAUUAAGAAUUUCUUAAUUAUGUUAUUAAAAACUUAAUUUUAUUUUAAACAUUCAUUAUUUUUUUUUAAUCGCUAGAUGCCAAAAAAGUGGCAACUAGAUAUAACUGCAAGUACAUAGAGACAUCUGUGGCGCUAAACCACAACGUAGACCAACUUUUGGCGGGAAUUAUUCGCCAGGUCCGAAGCAGAAGGCAGAGCAGCACAUACAACCCUGAAUGUGAAAUGACCAAAGACACCAAGACAGCAUCCAUGUUCACCAAAAUACUUCUCCAGAAACUGAUGAAAAUCGGACAUCCUGAUUUUUUGUGCACAAGGUUAUUUGACGUGUGAAGAAGGGGAAUUCCCAGAUGAAUCCGCAAUGGAUGAUGAUACGAUUUACAUAUCAUUGGUUUCUGUGACUAAGGCUUGACUGUAUGCACAGAAUGUAUUGGAAUAACAGAGAUAUCAGUGCAAACUGACAUGUGGGGGUUAAGGGACAUGAACUGAGUCACAAGAAAAAUGUUUGUUUGAUGAAAAUCGGAUGAGAUUAACCGGAGAAAGAUUUCAUCGUCUCUACACUCUAGAUCAGAUUGAUAGUUCCGUUUUGUAUUUUUUUUCUACUUAUUGUAUAUACAUGUACAUAUUCUUGUUAUAUUAUUUACUUCAUUUUGUACCUUUAUAAUAAAAUAUAUAUUAAU
rnacentral:misc_RNA from 1 species